rnacentral:misc_RNA from 1 species
GAAAUGCGAUAAGUAAUGUGAAUUGCAGAAUUCAGUGAAUCAUCGAAUCUUUGAACGCAUCUUGCGCUCCUUGGUAUUCCUUGGAGCAUGCCUGUUUGAGUAUCAUGAAAUCUUCAAAGUAAAUCUUUUGUUAACUCAAUUGGUUUCUACUUUGGUAUUGGAGGUCUUUGCAGCUUCACACCUGCUCCUCUUUGUUCAUUAGCUGGAUCUCAGUGUUAUGCUUGGUUCCACUCGGCGUGAUAAGUUAUCUAUCGCUGAGGACACUGUAAAAGGUGGCCAAGGUAAAUGCAGAUGAACCGCUUCUAAUAGUCCAUUGACUUGGACAAUCCUUUUAUGAUCUGAUCUCAAAUCAGGUAGGACUACCCGCUGAACUUAAGC